GGGCCAAAGAAACUGAACAUGGGCUGGGGUUCGCAAUUGGUUUUCAGGUAAGGGAUGUAAUAAGCACUAAUAAAAUGGAAGCUGUAGUGAAGUGUAGUUUUUUUAUUUUUGCUUUUCAUUUUGUCAGUUUGUUCGAUUAAUGGUGAAGAAUACAUGAAUUACAUGUGUGUAAAUAUUGCAUAUCGUAUAUAUACUUAAAACUUUUGACAUAUUUUAUAUGGUUUUAAAACCUGCAGCAUCACGCGAGCACCUUCGCCAGUAGAAACUAAAACAGUAAAACUUUAGAAGAAGCUUAUGAACACAUCAAUCAUAGUGAACGGGAAGUGGAGAAGAUUUCCGAGAUAUUCUAUUGAGCAAAACCAUCGUUGAUGAGCUUUUUAAUCUUUAACAGGAACAGCUCUCCGAUCUUACAAAUAACUUCCGUCGAUAAUUUUGGAGAAUCAGACAGAAAACUAUUUUCUGAUUGCGCAAAUGAGUUCAUCGACUGCAGAGGUAAUAGAAAAGCUAGAAGUUCUUCUACUAAAAUGUGUGGUCAAUCGUCUGCUAACAUGUUAGGGCAAGUCAAGUUUAAUGAAAAGGUAGUAGAAACUAUUGACUGGCUAUCAUUGAUUUUCUAACAUUAAAAGUCAAUUCUUGGAAUAUGUGGUGGCAGCAGGGCAGGGCAAGUAUUUGUGCGAAUUCUGAGUAGUAUUUGUCAAAUAUUGGGAUGAGAGAGAGAAAGAGAGAGUGAGAUACCUGUUGGAUGCUCUUCCCAAAAUCAGCUGUUAAAUUGGUACAGUUACUCAUAUAAAUCCAUGCAUGGAGUUUAAUGACUUACCCAAGCCCGGAACCUCAAUGAGAGUUUGGGUGACUCCCUUACAUUCAGUUUUCUCAUAUUUGACAUUUCCAAAAAACUGGGCAUUGUUUUCAAUGCAGGGCAAUUAGAGGCGUACAAAAAUUUCAAAUUUGUUGGUAAAUCAAGGAUUGUAUGAAGGUUAAAGCGUUGAUCUAACCGUAGAGUUUCAAGCUUUGACAGACUACUGAGGUUGGGUAGAGCAUAAAAAUCAUUUCGUCGAACAUCCAAAUAUUGCAAGGAAAUUAGACUCCCAAGACCCAUAACGAUUGCAUCAUCAUCUAUGUCGCACAAAUAGCAGUGGAACGAAUAGGGAGAAUGAACACACCCAAACCUUACGGUUAGAGAUAAGCGAGUGAGAUUCUUCAAUCUUAGUAUGGAAGGUGGUACUUCUCUUAUGGUUGUUUCCUCUGCUUCAAGUAUUCUCAAUGAUAUCAUCUCCCCUAAAUCCUUAUGCAGUUUACUGAAUUUUGAACAGUAAUUAAGACAGAGUGAACAGAUUUGGACCUUUAGAAAUCCCUUGGAAGAGAACUAAGCAUUCUGCAUCCGUUUAGGUUCACCAAAGAAAGUCUUUUAAGACGACCAAUGUAGGGGUGAAUCUCAGACAAAUUGAUACAGCGUUCCAAUAUCAACUCUUCAAGAUUUGGGACUUGUGAAAAGUCCAGUGAUUUAAUUAGGUAAUCAGAAAAACUAAAAAAAAAGGUCGUACCCAGUGCACAAGGCUCCCGCUUUACGCAGGGUCUGAGAGAGGUGAAUGUCGGCUAGACUUACCCCCAUUUAUGAAGAGGCUGCUCCCAAAAGGAAAGGAAAAUUGAAAUUAAUAUCCAAAAGGAAGACCUAUCUCAUAACUAGUUUCUCUUGAUUUAAAAUGUCAUUUGGUAUGGACUCUAAAGGGAAUCCAUGCCAGGACAACCAUAUUAACUCUUUGGGAAGAUGCUUGUAUUCUCCAUUGAGCUCUACGUAGCUGAGCUUAAGAAAUUUCAGUUUCUUCAUAUUGGUAAAUGCUACUGUACUGAAAGUAUACUCGUUAGAGUUUUGAAACCAAAGAUCAAGGGAAUCUAGAGCAAGUCCUUCAACUUGUUCAGUUCCCUGUUAACAAAAGCAUUAUUUGCAUAUGUUUACACGAAUUUGCCUAACGAAUUAUACUUCAUCCCCCUUUAGGUGAUGAGCUUAUUUCACCACUUGCAAAUUACGUUUCUUUAUUGUACAAAUUUCAUAAACGAUCUCCGAUUAUAAAAUUUGUAAAUAAAGGAAUUAGCUCAUCACUCCAAGAGAGGAAUGCAAGUAUCAACCCAUAUAGUCACGUACGGUGAAUAUAUGCAAGUAUUAUUGUUGGUUAAUUGAGCUUUCCUUGUGCAACUACACAUACACAUGAAUGUUGUUUAAUGUAUAUAGACAUACGUGGGUUUUUAUUGGUAAUGUACUUACAAAUUUAUUUCUCAACACAUCGGUCACCUCUCGAGGGUUCCACAACUUACUCCAUUUUUCAGGAUGACCAGGGGAAUUUUCGAAAUGAUUGCUCUGCCAUUUCUCGAAGCAAAUCAUGCAUAUUCAACUUGUUGCGUUCAACAUUUUCAAGACAUCGUUCACGAAGGACACUAGUUUCUACUGUUGCUGAAAAUCCACAUUCAUCUCAAGGAAUAUAGCUUUUUUUGUAUCAUCUAGCCCUUUAAAGCUUAUUCUUAAUGAUUUUAUUAUUUUUCCAUCUGGUGUUCCUUCCAAUUUCUCCAAUUGACUUUUCCAGAGCCAAUAGUAGUGUAGUCAUUCUAGAGCUUGGUGGACCCAAUAGUAAUGUCAAUCUAGAAGACAAUACCAACGGCUUGUUAGGCGUAAACACAUAGACAUUCUGAUGCCAAUGUGGCGAUAUACCAAGUAACCAAAGCCAAUCCAACACUACCACGAGAUCAAUUGACUUGAAAUACCGUUACCAUGGCAUCCCGAUUAUAAGUCCUUUUCGUAAACACUGGACUGGAAAUUCAGUAACCGAGUACUGACUGAAGCUUAAAAAACUUACCUUGAAGGUCUUAUAAUCCCGCUAAUGUUGUCUAAAAUAAUUAAUUUGCUUCUCUGCCCCCUGUAUAUACCAAUUGCCUAAAACGCCAUCCGAAAAAUGCAAAGAUUACAAAUCUUUCACAAAAUUAUGUAAUUUAAGAAAAUUAAGGGGAGAAUUUGAAUGAUUUUAUACCUCCGUCAUAUUAAAAACAAAAUUGGGAAUAGUCGGCAGCGCUCUGCUUCCGACAUGGACGAAAGCUUCAACCUUCAAGUUCUGAAAUCGGACCUCGAUCUUCGGAAAAUUCAAUGCUACUCUGCACACUCAAAUAAAGAACACCAAAACAAAUUAAGCACAAAAGAAAAGUUCCGAAAUUGAAAAGGACAAAAUGAAUAUCUGUUUAGUUGCUGAGAAAACGAGAGAAAACAGAAACUUCAGUACUCGCAGUCUCUGCCGACAUUUUCUCAGCAGCCAAACAGACACAAAUUAAGUACAAGAGAAAAGUUUCGAAAUUGGAGAGGACGAAAAGAAAAUCCUCCGUUUGGUUGCUGAGAAAAUAAUCGCAUUAGGCACUGUAUACUGAAUUUCUCAGCAGCCAAACAGUGUCAAUCACAGUAUAUCCAGUAAAACUGAAGAGGAUUACGCGUCAAAUCUGCGGCGCAUGCGAUCGAAGAAUUGUUCGGGGUCGUCGGCGGCGGAGCUAACAAGCCGGUCGAGAUUGGGCUUCUGCUCCUUAGCCUCGAGCUCGCCGACGUCGAUCUCCAUAGUGUCUCCGACGACGUUUCUGAAAAUGCCGCGCCGUACUCGGGCGUAGGUCGGGAGCCGCUCCAGCGCGGCCCACCGCAGCGCCUCCUCAUCGUCCCCUCCCUCCUGAAACGACCCCGAUCUCGCGAACACGUUCUCCGCCGAGUUCCACAUCGGAAAUCCCCAAAAGCUCUCCCUAGCCUCAGAAAAAUGCGGAGGCUUUGGCUGAAGAGGGAGAUAAGAGAGAGAGAGAGGCUAAUUAAAAGUGGAGUGUGAAUGUGAGAUGGACAUGUUUGAUUGCUGGAAAUGGUGGUUGGAGCUCUGCAUUUAAUUUCUUUCUCUAAUUAAGUCUUGGAGUUUGUUGUGACGGGUGAGAGAGAAACGGAGACGGAGAGAGACAGAGACGGAGAGAGAGCUUCUACUUUCUCUCGCUAAAAUAUUGCAUCUUUCUCUCUCUAAAAUGACGGUUAAUAUUUUUCACAGUUUGUGCAGGACGACAGAGAGAGAGGUUCAUUUAAUGGCCGCGGGAAAGACAAUGAGCAGGAAUUAAUCGUGAAAUGGGGAACUUUCAAACCCCGACACGCGCGGCUAUUUAAAUCAAACCGCGACUCGCGCGGCUAUUUAAAUCAAUUUUAUUCGCUCCACGGAUGAAGCGUCUAUCUUAUCCAACGGCUGGAAUUAAUCGUGAAAUGGGGAACUUUCAAAUUUAUCUAUUUUUAGAGGCUCAAAAUAAUUGAUGUCCUUGUUUUCUUUUUCACAUAUGAAAUAAGAAAACUCUGUUUUUUGGUACUAUUGAUUGAGACCCUUCAAAAACAACUCGAGCCCUUUCAACAUCUCUCGAAUAAUAUAACAAGAAGUAAAUAACACACAAUGACUCGACAAUCACUUGAGAUGAGCUUAAGACAUACUGGAGAGUGGCAAUUGAAGGUAGAUAAACAAAUUGAGUGCAAUUAAAUUAUGACUCGAAAGCGAGACGUAAUAGUUGAAUAGGUACUUCCUAACGUCAUGUAUCGAUUCUGCACGUUUUUCGAUGUCAGAACAUAUGACAUCCGGACGGUUUAAGACUUAUUUUUGUGUGAGGUGUAUCAGUGAGAUAAGCUAAUAAGGACCGCAUGAUUUAAAUUAAGUGGUCGGAAUUUCUCAGCCUAUCAACUUCAAGCGCAAAAUUCUAAGAGGUUCUCACUUUAUAAGACCUAUUAAGUAUUUUCACAUACAAAAAUAGCAUAUUUUAUAAAUUAAAGAAUCAAACAUAUUUUUGAGCCCACUAAAAAUCAAAUUUCCAACAUUCCCACUGUGAAGUGUGAAAGGUUGGUUUUGUUUAUAGGUUUGGCGCGUGUGGGUUGUUUUCGUGGGAAUUUAAAUGAAACGGUUGGGAAUGUGUGAUUUUACUGAUUUACCACCCUGUUGGGGUGAUUCGGAGUUAAAAAACGGCAUGUAUUUAAAUCGAAGCAUUUAUUCAUUAUCCACCAUUUCGUCGAAAAGGUGAGGCAUUGCCUAUUUUGUGGAAGCUUUUCCAUUGCCAUUGCUCGCUAUACUCGUGUGUUCUUUGCCAAGGUCUCGUUAUUUCUAACUCUUGAUGCAUUCUAAUUCUCCACAGUUCUUAGUUGAGGUUGACACUAUCAGUUGCUCAUAAUUUAUAAUCGUUAAUUCAUAAUUGAUCAUAGCUAAUCCUGUUAGUCGCCUACUGUAGAUAGAUAGUAGGUAAGAUAUUUGAUGAUUAUCAUCUACAAUUCCUCAUUGUUGAUAUCCAAAAUUUCUAACAAUUGAUGCAUUGUGGGUCAUGGCUGCUCUGAUAUUCCAAAAUUCUUGAUCAUUGAUGCAUUAUUGGUUAGGAAUGCUUUGGUUAAUCGCCUACAAUCCUAAUUGUUAACGCAUUGUAAGAUAAGAACAAUCUAGACCAUCAUUUGCAAUUCCGUAUGUGAACGACAGAACAUAUAAACUUUUAUAUGUUUCAGGUCAGAAUUGUAUUUGAUCAUAUGGUUAAUAUGAUAAAUGGAGGGUAAAUGCAAUUUCUUAAUUUGUAUAUUUUUUGGUAGCAUGAGAACUUCAUUUCAUCAAUAUGGCAUGGCAGUUCUUAACCCCACUGAAAGUGACAUUUUCAUCAGAAUAGCUUCUGUUAAAUUGUCUUGUUGUCUUCUCUAUAUCGUAUGAAAAUUGUGGACUUUCAAACCCUAGUCGGUUUCAUGUACCAAAAAUAUUGCAAUUUCUGCCAUCGAUGGUCAGAAAAUAUGUGACGUACUCAAACCAAAAUCUAGAACCACCAAGGAAUGAUUCAAUGGUAGGAGACAAAUUACAGACUCAUAUUCCAUACAGCAUGUUUUGGGUUUGAUCCUUGGCGCUGGUGAAUCACAUAAUAAUGGUUAAGGGAAGACUGAAAUAUCUUUGUAAAUCUUCUGAGCUCCCAAAAAAGUAAAAUAUAUAACAUAGAGAGAAAAUGUCAUAAAUUUACAAUCAAGCUAGGAAGUUGUCUUCAACACUACACGUAUAUGAUAAAGGGUAAUGUCAAGCAGACUAAAUUUGUAGACAAAAUUUUAGAAACUAAAGGACAUGAAAGUCGAUGACUGAUUUAUUACUUAAGGGUUGAUAAACGUAUUCAUUUUUAUUGAUGACACAUGAUUUAGCAAGGAAGAAAUCUAUGGUAAGAGUUAGGUGAUCUAAAAGCAAAAAAGACGGGUAGGAUUUAAAUUCUGCCUCCAUUACGGACGAGAAUUUGGUUUAUAUGGAGAAAGAACAAGUGACAAGUCAAAGGAAAAGAAAAAAAAAACUAUUCAGACAACGGAAAUUGGAAAACAUUUCCCUGCCAACUGCAUAUUAUUAUUGUUCCUUUGCCCUUUUACUUGUUGGCAAUGGCGUUGGGAUAUUAAUGGGAAAACUAAAUGCCCAAGGCCCAGCAUUGAAAAUAUGUAACACCACCACUGCUGGUUCAGAUGUAGUUGCAAAAACUCAAUAAUUCCUUCAAAUCCUUCAAAUACAACAAUAAAGCUUUGUCCCACUAAGCAGGUUGAUUGUAUGAUCCUAAAACAUCAUUGUGCUCGGUUUUGUGUCAAGUCAUCAUUUACCCCUAUUACCCCUAAACCUUUGUGUCAAAGGAGCAUUUUCUAACAUGAGAAUUUGUAGGCUUUCGGUUCACAUGUCCAACCAUUUUAAUAGAUUUUUUUUCAUCUAUUUUCAAUUGCAAUUAUUCUCACUUUAUCUCAGAUAUCCUCGAUCAUAAUAUUGUCCUUCUAAUCUACCAAAUAAGUGGUGGAAUUUAUUGCUAUAUGUUUUUGACGUGCACACCUUGACGAAAAUAUUGUUUAAAGUUUCAAUAAAAUUGUCCAAGAUGCCAAGGCAUUUACAUAAUUGAGCAUGUUUAUGGAACAACGUGAUCAUACAUACAAACCAUAUGUCUGAAGUUUGAAAUAUGCAUGGUUGAGAAACCCAUGUACAAGGAUGUGUGUGUGUGUAUCCCUUUAAGCGAAGGGAUGCUUAUUUUUAUUUUUUAUUUCUUUAAAUAGGGAUUAGUUGUGAGAUACAUAUUACAUUGAACUUCAACGAUCCGAACCGUCUAUUAUUCAAGUUGUAACUCAUAAAUCAUCCUUACAAAAUAUAGCCAAAUCGGAUAUACUUCAGAUAUCUAAAUGGGUUUAAAGAAAUUAACGAACACUUUGUUCUAUAAUAAACAAUGAAAUUAAUAGUUAAAUGGUUUCAUAUUGAAUUGAAUUUUUGUAAGGAUGAUCUAUGAAUCAAGACUUACAAAAUAAACGAUUCAGAUAGUUGAAAUUCAAUGUGGAGUGGGUCCCACAACUAAUCCACAUUUUAUACAGUUUAUAGGUUGAACCAGAAUUUUAUGACGCGAAUGUACACAAAGACGGAGUAAUUAAUGCACAUGCACUCUUUAAGUUUGUUAUAUUCUUUUAUAUUAAACAAAUUAAAGGAGAACUAGUAGAUAUAAACAAUAUGAAUGUGAAGAUGAUACUCUAAAUGAAUUACAAUUUUAGAUUGUAAAUUUAAAUGUCAAUUGUCAAUAAUAAGUGAUUUAACAGGUGGAGUUUGUGGAGCCAAAAAUAAUCACAAGGCGACACGUAGAUUUUUGACAAAAAAAGACAAAACUACCCUUGAGGUAUACCGGGAUUCCUACGUGCAAUCAGCAGACAAUUAUCCUUCAACCAAGUCAAAAGUGCCCAAAAUAGGUAUCAACUUAAAACCUAAUUUAUUCAUAUAUUUCCCAUUUCAUUAUUUAGCUAAUCAAUUAGCUAAAUAAUAUACUUAUUCCUUUCAUAUUUCCUAAAAUUGACUAAUUAAGGGAUUAAUUACCUAAUCAAUCCCUUAAUUAUCAACUAAACCUCCAAAUUAUAACCAAAAACCCACUAGGGCCGGCCAUGCCCUUUACUUUCUGUUUGUUGUUGCCAUUUUCUCCCCCUUUUUAUGACAUUCAAAUAGCUAGUUAAUUAGGUUAUUACUAUUUGCUAAUAAACUAGCCAAUUAUUUCCAUAACUCCCCAAAAUAACUAGCCCAUUAUCUCCAUAACCCCCCAAAAUAAAUCACCCUUUCCUCUCCUAUAAAUUGGGUCCCAUUUUCACAAAACACUAGUUCCAAUUCUCUUACAAAAAAUCCCAAAUAUUCUAAACACUAUUUCUCUCUAAAAUUCUAACUUUGGCAUCGGAGGUUCUUCGGCCAAAGCCCCCCCCAUUCAUCGUGGGCGCAUGAGGCUCUUGGCCUUAACCUAAGGUGCUAGUUGUUUUGUAGGUGCAAAAUCGUCCAAGAUCGAAGAGGAGUGCAUCCACAAAUUGGUGCUUUCAUUGAGAGUUGAAAUCCAUACUCGUAGAAGACUCUCGCACAAAAAGGUUUUUUCUUUAUUUUCUAGUCCAUUUGAAUAUUUUUCAUACGUUCUUAUUAUUAGAAUUUUUUACUUGCAAAGGUUCUUUGAUAAAACGUAUAAGCAAAAUAUAAUGGCUAGAAAUUUAGAAAAUUCCAUAAGUGAAAAUUCUAAUAUACAAGAAAUGAGAUUACGGAGAUCCGUGAGGCAAAAUGCGACAAUAAGGGGAGCAGCAUCACCACCACGAGUUUCCACCAUGGGAACCAUCGCGGUGGCUACCUCGGUAGCCAUUUGUGGCGAGUUCCAUGGAGCUUUCACCACGGCCCGAGCCGUGCCAUCCAAGGCUCACGGUACCAAUACCACGACCCAAACCGUGCCAUCCAAGUUUACGUGGACCCAAGCCCAAGCCUCGCAUUCACAUGCACCGUGCAUUGAGCAGCCUGUUUCCGUCGAGCAGCCCACUCCCGUGGCCCAGCCUGCUCUCGUGACCCAGCCUGCUCUCGACGAGCAGCCCAGCCUGCUCCCGACAAGCAGUCCACUCCCGUGGUCCAGCCUGCUUUCGUCGAGCAGCCCACUCCCAUGGCCCAGCCUGCUCCCGCCAAGCAACCUGCUCUCGCGGCCCAGCCUGCUCCUGCCAAGCAGCCUGCUCUCGUGACCCAGCUUGCUCCCGACGAGCAGCCCACUCCCGUGGUCCAGCCUGCUUCUGUCGAGCAGCCAACUCCCGUGGCCCAGCCUGAUCUUGCCAAGCAGCCUGCUCUCGUGACCCAACUUGCUCCCGACGAGCAGCCAACUCCCGUGGUCCAGCCUGCUUCCGUCAAGCAGCCAACUCCCGUGGCCCAACCUGCUUCCAUCGAGUAGCCCAUUCCUGUGGCCCAGCCUGCUCCUGCCAAGCAGCCUGCUUUCAUGACCCAGCCUGCUCCCGACGAGCAGCCCACUUCCAUGGUCCAGCCUGCUUCCAUCGAGCAGCCCACUCUCACUGCCUAUCCUGCUCCAGUGGCUUUCCAAGCAGCCCAAGUCAGCCCAAGACUAUCUCAACCAUCCGGACCUACCAUCGAACCAGGGGCAUUCUCACCAUAUUUUUUCGCGGGUUUGACAUUUCCCAACUCAAAUCUCGCGCCCGAAGUCUACCACCCUUUCACUGCCCAAUGAGGCGCAUUCCUUCCAAGCUCUUCCAAUCCAAAUGGCGAACAACACUUGUCUCGACAAGUCAUAGAGUUGACGAGCGCCCUUGCACAACAGACAACUUUGGUGAAUCAACUUUUGCAACGCAUCGGGAUCCAACGUGCCUCGGACGAGGUAUCCCGAAGUAGAACAAGGGCAGACAGACCUUUUCAGCAGCGUCCCGGUAAGCAGCCACUUGAACAGCCACGAGCCGAACGUUUGGGCAGUGUAUAUUCCCGUCUUAGCGCGCGGAGGAGCAUGCACUCUCGACUAGGCCCACGGAUGAGCAUACAUUCAUGGUUGGGGUCAUACUCUGAUAGUCAACAUGAGCAACCUUCCGGGAAAAUUGUCCAUUCGCGGCUAAGCCCACAAGGAACAUCCUCCACCUCACAUCAGAGUAGGCAGCACGACGGACGGAGAGAAGCAGUCACUCAAUCCAGCUCAAGUUCAACCAGCAGCCUGCGAAGAACUCGUUCGCCUGCUAGGAACGCACCACAUGCACUGCAUCCGCGACAUAGACGAGCCAAACUCAUGGAAGAGCAGCCUAGACCAGCAAGUCAUGGCUGGAGGCAGCCGAGAGAUCCGCUACCCCAACAAAGGCAAAUUCAGGAAGAAGUAGAAAGCCUCUUGACCAAGCGAUUGCAUGAUUUCCAAUGCAACGAGGUCACCGACGAGGCACUACGACGGAACAUGACCAACAUAAGCAGGUCACCCUUCACGGACGAGAUCGAGCAGGCAGAGCCUCCACGUGAGUUCAGCAUGCCACAUUUCACAUUUUUCAAAGGGGAUGAAGACCCGGAGAGACACUUAAAGCGCUACCGAAGCACAAUGAUCCUUUAUCGAAACAAUGAUGAUCUCAUGUGCAAGAUAUUCGCCACCAAUCUACAAGGCGAGGCGCAAGAUUGGUUCUACACCCUGCCGCCACAAUCCAUCCGGAAUUUCUACGAACUUUCUUUGGUUUUCACCAAAGAAUAUUCAUCCUAUCGCUCGAUUAAAAAGAAGUCUGACCAUUUGUUCGACGUCAAGAAGAACCCAAAGGAGUCGCUUCGCGACUAUGUGAGGAGGUUCAAAGUAGAGAAGGCAAAAAUAGUCAGAUGCAACGACUCGAUAGCUAGAGCAGCCUUCCAAAAAGGACUUCCGGCAGACCACCCGCUAUUCAGAAAAUUGAUCAUGAAAGAAGAUCUAACUCUGUCAGACUCUUUUGUUUUGGCAGAGAAGCAUGCACUUUGGGAUGAGGCUCGCCAAUGCACAUUUAAAGACUUGAAGAAGUACCCGACAUCACCUUCCUAGAAGCAGCGGAUGACCUAUUCGCAUGUUUGACGGUAUCUAAAGUAGCAAUAAGCUCUACCAUCAUGUGAGAAGAGCUAGGGGCCCGACUACCUGUAUUCUACAGUUCAAAAGCUUUCCUCGAUGCUAUUAAAAAUUCAAAAGCUAACUUUGGCGAUAAUUGUUGCAACCCAGAAGCACAAGUUUUACUUUCAAAUGCAUGCAGUCAUCCUCAUGACAUACUAUUCUGCCCAAUCCAGACGCGCGACGAUAAAGGCAUAGACCCCGGUGGAUGUGAAGUUUUCUGACGAACGCAACACUAGAAGGACACACUCAGAAUCAAGUUUUGUCCUCGUCACCCUAAAAGAUUCUACAUAUGAGCAACAUGUACCGGCAGUUGAGUACCACUUCUUGCUGCGCACCACACGGCCCUAGCCGACCCUUACUCAAUGAUUCAACUUUAGAGUGGCCCAAUACCGGCAGUUGAGCAUCUCCUGCUGCGUAUGACAUGGCCCCAUCUCCACAGCUCCCUACUGCGCCUUCACGCCGAGCCUAGGUGAUGCAACAGAGCGGCCCAACGAUGUCUCAGAAGUAGCCGAGCACACUCUAGCCGCGCCUACUCCACCCGAUGGAGACUUCUAGCAUUUGCAUGUCGACGGCGCAGAAAAGCCCUCAUCACUGCCUGCAGAGAAGGAUCCAAAAAGACGAUUCUCAUCUGGGAAGGUCUGUACAAGAUCAGCAGAGUAGGCGGCAAUUGUAAUUACACCCUCGCCACCAUGAAACGGUAAAAAGAUCGAAAAGCAAUGGAUGGCCUACAAUCUGAGGAAGUACCAUGUGUGACCUCCCGCUACAUCAAAACCCGAAGACUCAAGAAGCUCGACGGGCACCACCUCACAAGCUGAGGACUAUCCAGUUGUUAUGCAGUUCCUACCUUACAGCUAAAGUUCUCGUUCGUUUCACUUGUUUUUCAAUGAGGAAUUUAGAAGUAAUCACAACUUGGCUUGGCUGUAUGCUUACAACAACUAAUCACUCCUACACUUCAAAAGAAGACUGCGCCCUUCUUAGGGACUCAUCGCAGGAAUUGCGCCCCCCGAGGGACCAACCAUGCUCUUCAGUGCGAGAGGGUAAACCAAUUCCCCGACACCCAUAUGGGUUAGCUCUCCAAGAUGGGAGGAUAAACUUUAUACUCUGAAUAUCCAGACGUGGAUGAGCCUGGCUGCCCUAGUAUAACUAGAAGCACGAUGGCUUGCGCUGGGAUUCCUAGAAGUAGCCACAAUGGUCUUUUUCAAGGCUUAGCUAACUGAAGGAUUUUGGGUCUCUUGGCCUAAUCCGUGGGAAACCGGGCCCUAGAUACGGAGGGGGCACAUUACGUAGUACGCCCUACAGACGCCUGCCCUGGAACCUUAAAGCUGCUACCGAGUGCACUAAGGUAGCCUACGGAUUCCGGAAGACUGCCUACGGCUUGCCCUUUGAGCAGUAAAGCCGCACUAGACUUAUACAACCGCACAUUCUUGUGAAAGGUUAAACAAGCUAGCACGCAUAUACGAAGUUUUAUCCACUGCCGACAUGCUACGUAGUCGAUAAGCUUCACCUCUGCCAAGCGCGGAACAACCUACACCAAGUCUUAAAGUGUUGUGAUACUUGCUGCGCAACUUACGGAAUUGGAGAAAGUCAAGCUUAAUAGCCUAGUGGUUACGCGGACUUGUCUGCUUCUGUAAGUAAGGCAUCUGGCUGCCAACCCAAUGGCUAACAUCUUUGCAAAGUUCUACACCAACACCUACGGCUGCAUAGGCUACGCGGGCUUGUCUGCUUAUAAAAAAGUAGCAUGCCUGCCACUGGUCUAUCAAGUCUAAAGGUUAGGGCAUGAACAAAAGAAGUGAAGAUGAAGAAAAGCGAAGGAAAACAUGUUUAUAACAACUAGCAAAGGUCGAAGGAGUUCAAGCAAAACAAGAACUACAAGGAAAAACAAAGAAAAUCUUAAAGGCUACCUAGAUGACUACACUUUAGCAGUCUGGACAUCCCACGACUAUUCCGUCGCCACACCUUCAGCAACCGCGAAGCUCUUAGCAGCAGCAUCACCCUUGACUGCUCCAGCCUGGGCACCAACUUCUCCAACUACUUCACCAAUACCAACAUGGACGCGUUGCAGCUCAUCCAUUUUUUUCUUCAAAUUUUCGUUGAUCUUCAGUACACCUUGAAGUUCCAACACUUGGGGUUCAAGCCUAUCGACGAUUCUCUUGAAGUGGAUCACUUAAUUAUAAGCAGCAAUCAACUUUUCAUACUUUGCAUAAGCAACGAAAGAAGUCUUUGGUUUUUCUCAACCGGCAUCUCUUGAGCAGGCAUGGAAGAUCCCUUUUCCCACCUUCACUUGCAGCAGGAUCCACAACGGUGAUUGGACGAACCAAUGCAUCCGCCUUGAUCCUAUUCACCUCUUAUUUUAGGAGCAGCCCAUGUUUCUCCUGAUGAAGAUAGUUAAAGUAGCCAACACCAUUCGUGGUACCCAGUAGGGGAGUUCAACCCAACAUUCCAACAGCCCAUGAGACCCACAAUCUCUUCAUUUCUCUCAAUCGCCAGCCUGGUCCGAGUCAGGUCCAAGAGCCCAAAGGACAUGAGCCAUGCGGCUCGCCUAGCACUGCAUCCCAACGCCACAAUCCGCGACCCCAGCCGCACAAGCAGCCCUUGGCUCAAGCCAAGCCAAGCUGCCCAAGCAGUGGUCCUUGCCACGACAUCUCCUCGGCCCAUGCCAAGCCAACUCCUGGCCCCUGCCAGCCGACGUGUCGCACCACCUCGACAGCUGCCCUGCAAUAACACUAUCCAAGAAGAAGGCAAGAAAAAUUAAAUUUUUCUUACAUUGGUACGGCACGGAGAAGACGAAGAAAUCAACGAAAGAUGGUCCUUUGCACGGGCAAGAUGUAGAAGAUUGCUAGAGGAGGGGGAACAAAUAUCCUCUAACUUUCUCUCUCUUGUUGGGUAGAAUAAAUCGCUCUCCAAAGUUGAUUUAAUAACCCACUUAAGGUGGAAUUAAAUAGGCUUUGAGAGAAAUUUAUUUCCCUUUCCUAGAAGGAUCUAAUUUCCAUUUAAAGAGAGAAUCAACAUCAAAAUAGGAAGCAGUCUUAAGUUUCCUAAAGCAAGAAAAUCUCUACACCUGUUGCCAUUUCCUACAAGCAGCCCAACAGGUGUGGGGGCAUUUGUGGAGCCAAAAUAAUCACAAGGCGACACGUGGAUUUUUGACAAAAAAGACAAAACUACCCUUGAGGUAUACCGGGAUUCCUACGUGCAAUCAGCAUACAAUUAUCCUUCAACCAAGUCAAAAGUGCCCAAAAUAGGUAUCAACUUAAAACCUAAUUUAUUCAUAUAUUUCCCAUUUCAUUAUUUAGCUAAUCAAUUAGCUAAAUAAUAUACUUAUUCCUUUCAUAUUUCCUAAAAUUGACUAAUUAAGGGAUUAAUUACCUAAUCAAUCCCUUAAUUAUCAACUAAACCUCCAAAUUAUAACCAAAACCCCACUAGGGCCGGCCAUGCCCUUUACUUUCUGUUUGUUGUUGCCAUUUUCUCCCCCUUUUUAUGACAUUCAAAUAGCUAGUUAAUUAGGUUAUUACUAUUUGCUAAUAAACUAGCCAAUUAUUUCCAUAACUCCCCAAAAUAACUAGCCCAUUAUCUCCAUAACCCCCAAAAAUAAAUCACCCUUUCCUCUCCUAUAAAUUGGGUCCCAUUUUCACAAAACACUAGUUCCAAUUCUCUUACAAAAAAUCCCAAAUAUUCUAAACACUAUUUCUCUCUAAAAUUCUAACUUUGGCAUCGGAGGUUCUUCGGCCAAAGCCCCCCCCAUUCAUCGUGGGCGCGUGAGGCUCUUGGCCUUAACCUAAGGUGCUAGUUGUUUUGUAGGUGCAAAAUCGUCCAAGAUCGAAGAGGAGAAAAUUUGCAUCCACAGAGUUCACUUUGUAGAGAUAAGCGUGGUUCAAUUUGAUUCAAUUCAAGUCUUAAACAAUACACCAAUCAAUGUAACAACAUCGUUAAGCUUGGUUUUGGUUUAAUAGUUUCUUAAUACGUUAAUUCGACUUGAACCAAACCAAGCUAAUUAUAAUUUAAUUUAGUUCAACCUAAAUUUUUACCUUUUCAUUAUAAAAGUCGAACCUAUCAUUCAUAAAAUUUAAGCUUAAGACCUCUCAUCCUAUAGGCAUUCGGUCCUAAUAAUCUAUGAUUUUGGCCCAUACAACAUCACCUUUAAGGCUACACAUGGGCCUGACCUUGUCGGUUGUCCAUUACAGUUUAGGCUUUAAUUUUGGGCCACUGGCCCUCAUUCUCACAAAAGGCGAACCAAUACCCUGGACGAUACCAUAUAUUUGCUGUUUUCUGAUGCCAUAAAAAAAAAAAAAAAAAAAAAAAAAGAAAUCAGAUAACCCCCAAAAUCAAAGCCGCGGCAAACAGGCGCUGAAAAAUGGAGGGAGUUCUGGCGCCGCAAUCGAAACCUUAAGAACCAGAGGAUGGUGCUUCGCGACCACGAACAAGUGGAGGCGAUGAUCCUGCUCCACUCAGCCUUGUCCGACGACAAGCGUACGGUGGUGAAUUCAGUGGAAGCCGAGCUCACCAACAUGGACCUCAAAUCUAUCUCCGCUAGGUCCUUGCCCGACCCGCUUACGCUCCAAAAGUCCUCUCACCUCCUCGGCUCCAAGGUCCUCCAGGUAAAUCACACCUCUCUGUAUUUCUCGUUAAUUUUUCUCGUUUUCUGUUUGGUUGCUGAGAAAAUAGAUGAAGAGAAAGAAAAUUGUGGUAUUUCAUUUGCGAGGAAUAGAGUAGUAGGCGGCUUUUGAAACUUGGGCUCGUUCCUGGAACCAAGGUACUUACUGCUUGUGUUAUACAAGUACAUUUUUUAAUUUUGACAUUUAUUAAGAGGAACACCAUUAUGCACUGGAUACAAGUACAUUUUCAUGAAACUCAAUAUGAAUUUCAUAAGAAUUUUUAGGUGUCUCUCUAAACUCAAUAUGAAUUUCAAUCAAGUUACGAAGAAUGGCAGAUGAAUAAAAAAUAUUCCAGGUUUUUUACGUUUAUCUUUAAGGCUUUCACAGGAAAGUGAUGGUAACGCCCCCCUCCAUUUGAGAAGUUGCAAGUUGGGGCAGCUAAAAGUCGGUUUCCUCAGCAGGACAAGUUGCUAUUACCAUAAUAUUCAACCACUCAAUGUUGCAAUUGCAUGCAUAACUCAUGGGCAUGAUGCAAUCAUAGGCAGAUUACUCCCAUGUCAGCUCCAAGAGUAGUGGGCUGCUGCCUGAAAUACUGAGGUUAGAUCAGUUGGAAGGUAGCAGAACCUACAUUUGAAAGCAAGAGAAUAAAUUUUAUAAAAAAAUUGACAGAUAACACUCGUAAGGCAGAUUCCCAUGAUGAAAGAACUCAAGACAAACCGAGCAGCUCUGCAACGACUACGAGGCCAAAAUGUGGAUCUUCAUUCAUGUCCAGCUUGCAGGUUGUUAUUACUAUUAUUCUAUGCUGCAUCCGGGUUUUGUGUAGUAUUAACUAUUAAGUUUAAUUUUAUGUCACUUAGUUGUGGGGAAGGAGUCUGAGAGGAGACGGUGUUUUUACACUUGGAUUUGUUCACUAAUUAUUUCUAGUGGUGAAUAUAUAGUUGUAGAUGGGGCAGGUGUAAGGUGGCAGAAUAAAACUUGAAUUUUUUGAAUGGAGGGAAAACCAAAUUUCUGCUAAGUUUUGUUUGUAAUGGACUUAUACUUGAAUCACACAAGAAACACAUUUAGUUAACUUAUUUAUUUAUUUAUUAUAGAUGUUCAAUUGGAGGUGCCUGUACAGGUAGUAGUCGUGAGGAGGAACUUGCACGGCAGCUCCAAAAUCAAUUUGAUUUGGAUGAUUAUCAUGUCAGUGUGUCAGCAUAUUCUGAUCAUAAAAUUGGUAUUGUUGUUGUAUUGCAAGAUUUCUGAUGUUAUCGUGCUGUAACUUGAGGUACAAAAGGGUCCUCAUGAUGUGGAUGCAGAGAAUAUUAAAAUGAGCAUGUUUAGCUACCAAAAAGAAGAUGAUAGAGAUUAUGAUGGGAGAGGAAGAGGAGGAAGGGGACAGGGGAGGAGCAGAUGUUUUUAAUAAACGAGUGAGAUUCUUCAAUCCUACUAUGGAAGGUGGUACUUCUCUUAUGCCUGUUUGCUCUGCUUCAAGUGUUCUCAGUGAUAUCAUCUCCCCUAUAUCCUCAUGCAGUUCACUGAUUAAUUGACAACCAGAAAUUGCAAGAGUCUCAACAGAUUUCAAUUUAUAGAAAUCCCUUGGAAGAGAAAUAAGUUUGAAACACCACUUAAGGUUCACCAAAGAAAGUCUUUUAAGAUGACCAAUGGAGGGGUGAAUCUCGGACAAACUAGUACACCAUUCCAAUAUCAACUGUUCAAGAUUUGGGACUUGUGAAAAGUCCGAUGAUUUCUGUAAGGAAUUGGAACAGCUGAGAUCAAGGGUUUUCAAGUUAUGUAGCGACUGUUGCAGAAAAUCAAAAGAAAAUUGAAAUUAAUAUCCGAAAUGAAGAUGUUAUAAAAAAAAGAGAAGAAAUCCAAAAAACAAAUAGAAACACAACAUCAUCAGGUGUAAUUCAUUAUACCUUGGAACCCUUCCAAACUUGUACCAGUUUGCUACACUGCAUCUCUAAAACAACUAGUCUUGGUUGAUUAAAAAAGUCAUCUGGUAUGGACUUUAAAGGGCAUCCAAACCAACGCAACCAUAUUAACUCUUUAGGAAGAUGUUUGCAUUCUCCUUUGAGCUCUACUCUGCCGAGGUCAAGCAAUCUCAGUUUCUUCAUUUUGGCAAAUGCUUUUGUACUGAAACUAGCAAUCUUAGUUUCUUCAAGGAAAUAUAGAGCAAGUCCUUCAAUUUCUCCAGUUCCCUGUUAACAAAAAAAAAGUUAUAGUGGUAAGAAACGGUAUAUUUGCAUAUGUUUAUAUGUAUUAUUAUUAUUCAUUACGCAAAACCACGCACGGUGAAUAUAUUUACACACGAAUGUUGUUUAAUGUAUAAUUGACUUGCCCGGGUUACAUCUAUGCUUUUCUUGUAUGAUGCAUAAAUCCAAAAUUUAUUGGGAAUAAACUCAGAUUUAUUUGUCAAUACAUCAGUGACCUCUUGACGAUUCCACAACCUACUCCAUUUUCCAGGGCAAUCAAGAGAUUUUUCAGAAAUGAUUACUCUGGCCAUUUCUCGAAGCAAAUCAUGCAUAGUCAACUUGUUGCCUUCAAUAGUUACAAGACAUCGUUCACGGAGGACACCGAUUCCUCCUGUUGCAAAAAAUCCACAUCCAUCUAAUACUUUUGCGACGUAGUCUUUGUCCUUUCCAAUAAAGAAACAAGAUAUGUCAAGGAAUAUAGCCUUCUCUGUAUCAUCUAGCCCUUCAAAGCUUAUUCUUAGUGGUUUUAUUAUUUCUCCUUUAGGAGUUCUUUCCAAUUUCUUCAAUUGACUUUUCCACUCUGCAAUAGGUCUUCUAAACAAAAAAGAACCUAAAACUUCAAGGGCUAGUGGCAAACCUCCACAGUAAGAAACAACCUUUUCUGAGACUUCAAGAUAUUCUUCAUUAGGGUAACUUUUUCGAAAGGCAUGCCAACUAAAGAGCUCCAAAGCUUCUCUCUUUUUCAUUUCUCGAAGCGGAUAUGUCUUGUCCACUUCCACUUGCUUUAGCAAAUGUUCAUUUCGUGUCGUUAUAAUAAUUCUACUUCCUGGACCAAAACAAUUGUGACUUACAGCUAUUGCAUCAAGUUGUUUCAGGUCAUCUAUAUUGUCGAUGAUGACAAGUACCCUUCUACGUUGGAGAUGUUGUUUUAUCAAACUGAUACCUUCAUCAACACUGCUUAAUUCAGACUUUUGUUUUAAGAUGUCAGAAAUAAGUUUUUCUUGCAAAUAAACCAGACCAUGUUUACUUGUAGCAUCGCUAACGUCGGCAAGGAAACUUUUGAAUUCAAACGUAAGAUGAAUUUGGUUAUAAAUGGCUUUGGCAGCUGUUGUUUUACCCAAUCCACCCAUCCCCCAAAUUCCAACCAUGAGAACAUCAUUUGAUCCACCACUUGAAAGAUCACUGAUAAUACCUUGAAUGCGAGAUUUGAUUCCAAUUGGGUGCUUCGCCACAUUUAAUUCGUUUGUUCUGGGGAGCCAUUCCCAAAUAUUGUCGUCAACAAUUUUUUUAAUGAACUUUGCUUCGCGCCUGAAAAUUGAAUUUGUAAGCAUUAGUGUGACUCAAUGAGGCUUUGUAGGAGAUAUCAGUACAUAAACAAUUUUCUUUCUUUUCUUCAUAUAUGGGUCAUUUUGGUUUUGGUCCUUUGGUCAUCUCAAUUGUUAGAUUAAAACCUUAUAGUUUUUCAAUUUUUGAUCAAAGUCUUUGAUUUGUACACCUCACCAUUUUAGUAUUUAUUAUAUUUCCAUGUCAUUUUUUUGUAUUUUAAAUUAAAAAUUGUUGAUUGAGUCCAACAUUUAAAACACUUUGUCUUGUUGAAAAUGGCUAUAAUUAACAACAUUUAAGGGAUUUAAAUCAAAUAAUUAAUGUAAUUUAUAUCUCACGGAUUUAAAGGAUUUAAAUCCAAGAUCAAAUCUAAAAACUUAUGAAAUUUAAAAUUCCCAAAAUUUAUUGGAAUCAAAGAUCUACAUAUCUUACAGAUUAUAAGACUUAAAAAAAUGUCUACAAUAAAAUAUAGUGCCCAUAUGAGGAUGGGGGCCUAGUGCAGUGGCACUAGAGCCAAGACAGCCAAGACAACUCCCAUCUCACCCAAGUUAAUUUCAACAAAAAUAGGGCUAACACUUUAACUAAAAACUAUAAAUAAUUAGCAAAGUGUUGACGUGUAAUUUUUCAAAUUCUAAAAUGAUGAUUUGGACAAGGUCGAAGAAACUUGAUCAAAAAUAGAAAAACAAUAAAGUUUCAAUCGAUGCAAUAUAAAAAUAAGAGAUGAAAACCUAAUUUUUCCUAUAGGAGUGUGUUAUCCACACAUCCCAUUUUACUUCCUCACAUACCCCUAAAUAAUUUAUGUCCGUUGAUCUUCUUCAAUUCAUCCGAUCAGAAGGCCGAAAACUAAAAAGAUAUGUGAGAAAUAAAAUGGGGUGUGUGAAUAUCACACCCCUUUCCUAUAUAUAUAUACACUAACUAGCAACUAAAUAGCAUGCGACUUGAAUAAAAGAAAGUCAUUCAUUGAUAAAUAAAAGUUAGGUGUGUAUGAAUUAAACUCCAAUAACGGUUUCGGUUUUAUAUGAAAGAUUAAAGUGUAUUCAUUAAGCCUGUGAAUCAAUGUUUGGAUUAUGUAAAAUGUUAAUUGAGCAUGUUAAUUAAUUGAGAGAUUAAGUCAUUCACUAAAAUGUUUCAAAUCUUGAAACGCAAGUGAAAGAUUACCCGUUGUCAGUUGUUUGGUGGUCAGACAAAUUUGCAGCUUCAGUAUGAAGAUCUCUCUGCCUCUUCCUGACAUGUGAAGGAUCAACGUGAGAGAUUAAGGUGUACUAAUUAAGCAUGUUAAUUAGAGUAAUACAACUUAAAUCUUGAACAGCAGCUUAAUGAUUACCUAUUAUUACUGGAUUUAAGAUGGUGGCCAGACAAAUCUGCAGCUUUUGUGAGAGCCCCUUUCCACUGCUCUACCCUUGUUUGUUUAGCUUCACGUUUCUCGUCAUCUUUUUCUUCACGGAUGUCCUUUUCGUGUUUAUGAAAUGCUUCGGCAAAAUCUCCGUCCUGCUUCUUGACAUGCGAAGGAUCAACGUGAUAGAAUAUUGGCAAAACAUGUCGCUCCAGUUUGUCUCUGCACUCCAUGAUCUUCACCAGCUCGUCAAGACACCAACUCGAAUCCGCAUACAUCUUUGAGAAGACAAUGAUAGAGAUCCUCGACUCUUCGAUUGCCCGAAACAGUUCCCCUCUUAUUUCUUCCCCUCUUUUUAGACCGUCCUCAUCAAUAAAGACAUGGUAUCCUCUGUAUUUUAACGCCUCGUGGAGGUGGCUGGUGAAGCCAUUGCGCGUGUCUUCGCCGCUAAAGCUCAAGAACACGUCGUAACUCCAAAGUUUUGACUUGGAGGAGGACGAACAAGAGGCUUCGUGCGCUGUCAUGGCGGUAUCCACCAUUAUGACACUGCACUGGUUCAGAUCAGAGACUGAAAAAAUGGCAGUGGUUGUGUUUGUGUUGCCGAAGGAUGAUACCUAAACACAAGUCAAGAUCCUUCAAUAAACAAAAGCAAAAGUUUAUAAUAUAAUAAUGUUCGUGUAUGGACUUGGGAAACCACACACUACCGGGCAGGAAGGUGCAAGGAAACAGAGAGGAAAAGAGGAAAGAAAGGAACACGAAAGACUCAUGUUUGCUUUUCUUCAAGAAUAUCUGAACACAAGGAAAAGGCUCACGUGAAGGAAAAGGCUCCUGUUCAAUUAAGAUCUACCUCAUAUUACAUUUAUUCCCAACCAAUGUUAGUAACUUUAUGUUUUAAUUUUGCUUUUUAUACAUUAAUUUUCUCCAAGAACAUAUACAUUAAAUUUUUUCGCACUAGGUUUUAUUCUGCAAUAUGUCUCCUUGCCAAAGAUAAUCGCUUUCGCAUUCAUGAGAUUUUGGUAGCACUGAGGUAAAUGUUAUCAAGGUGUGCAAAGUAGUAUGCUUGUUUUAUAUGUUUUCUUUGUAAAGAUUUAGACAUAAAAUGUAAAAAGGUGGUCAUGUGCCAAGCACAUGACACUUUCUAACAAAAAAUUGGAUGGAGUUAAAGAUACUUAACGGUAGGGGGUUAAUUGGCCACUUUAACAUAGUUUAGGGGGUCAAUUGGCUGAAAAAAUAGUUCAGGGGGAAAUUGAAACUCACGUGAUAGUUUAGGGGGUUAAAUGACAGUUUACUCUAUUUAUAACAAUAACCUCAUGAGGACCUUCAGGUUGUUCACUUGACGAAUAAAUGCAUCAGACAACCAACUCUUUAAAAUUACGAUCAUCAUUUUCAUGUAUAACAGAGUCAGCAACAUUUCACUCAUAAGCAAACUCAAACCACUCAGGAAUAUUAUAAAUACCAUGAGAUAAAUGCCACCAUUUCCACAAGAAGUCCAUCCCUAUACAUGUUGAAGUGUACAAGAAUCUCACAUAAAAUUUGACAAAAUUAAAGAUAACUUAUAUUGUGCGGUUUCCACUUCUAAUUAUACCUAAGUAUUUUAUGAUAAAACAUUCACAUAUGAUAUGUGCAUGUGGUAAGAUUCAAGCUGAGAGAAAAUAUUGGUUUGAUUAAUGAUGAGUCGUUGAUCAGUCUGUAUGAACCUUUUACGAUAUUGCAUUUGUUAUGUGCGUGUGGGUAAGCUACCAAAAAUAAUACCGAAAUAAAUACCCGAGUCGAAAUCUUAAUAAUAUAGCCUUCACGUAAAAAACUUGAGAUAUGACCGAGUCCCGGGAACGGAGAGUUGCACAAAAUUGAAGUUGCAGAGACAAUCCAAUUUAGUAUAAUAAUAUUCAAGUACAUAUAAACUAGUGCAGAGUCAAAGUCAUGCAACUUUGUCGUUUUGAGAUUUUAAUUAAACAUGUAAAGUUCUAUUUUUGUUGUUUUGAUUUUUAAACCGGUAGUAAAACGUUACCAAAUGAGCCUUUAAUUUAUAUUAGUCCUAAUUACUGUAAAAAACACUACACCAACAAUCCACCAAAGUCUAAAUGUUGUAUUAUAAAUAAAACUGGUUAUUGGUUUGGAGUUAUGAUGUUUUAUGGCUUCAUUUGGAGUUAUGAUGUUUUAUAAAAAAACUAAACAAUGAGAGAAGGUAUUGAUAAGAAUUUGCGCACCUUGUCCAGUCAAUGCCAAUGACCCUGAAGUGAGUGUCAAGUGCAUUGAAAUUUGUAUAGAAUUCUUUUUCCUGUCAAGUACAUUGAGAAUCAUCACACAUCUGCGAAUCAUAAGAAUAAUGUUAGAAUUCUUUUUCCUGUCAAAUUGAACGGUGAUGAUUUGAUUUAGUAAUCAGAAAUAUGUAACACAUUGUGGUAAAAAAAAUUUAAGAACGUAAUAAAGAAUGUAAGGAUUCACAAAAGUACAGACAUACUCAGAAUUUUGGAAAGCAAAUUAUCAAACGUUCAAAUUUUUAAAGCUUUUGGAUUAGUUUUUUACUUGCGUUGUAGUCUAUAAUUUAUUGAACUCCAAGAGAGAUAAAUGGGAAGCGAAGGUCCCAUGGAAGGUUGUUGACAAUCGGUAAGAGAUGAUAGCCCACAAAACUCAAAAAUAACUAUUUUUUAAAAUACAGGGUUUUGUAAAUCUUAUUAAGCUUUAAAAAAUUAGCACAAAUGAGUUUGUUUUUAUAUUCACCAAUUAUUUUUUCUAUCGAUUAAUUUCAGGAGAAAAAUUAGUAGGUCGAAGUCCUAUUCAAAAGAAAGGUAAAUAAAUACAUUUCAAUUUGAAAUUGUGCAUAAUGAAAAUGGGAGGAAAAAAAAAUAAACAUUCCUCUGCAUCGAUGAGGAGAAUAGAGAUAAAGAGAACAAAAUUAGCACAAAUGAGUUUGUUCUUAUAUUCACCAUUUAUUUUUUCUAUCGAUUAAGAGGCUAUAAUUUCAGGAAAAAAUUAGUAGGUUGAAGUCCUAUUCAAAAGAAAGAUAAAUAUAUUUCAAUUUGAAAUUGGGCAUAAUGAAAAUGGGAGAAAAAAAAUCUUUACAUUCAUUUGCAUCGAUGAGGAGAAUAGAGAUAAAGAGAACUACAUGCAAUUAGCUGUGCAAACCAUUUAUUUAAUAUUAAACUAAAUUAACAUAGAAAUCUUGAACUGCAUUACAAUAGUUGAGAUUAAGUUACUAAAUCAAAUGUUUUUUUAAUAUUAACAGAGAGAUUAUAUAAUUGACAAAGAAACUAAAGAAGGUGCAUAUACAAAUAUAUAUAUAUAUAUAUUAGUACUGUGUUUGGUGGGCUGGAGGAGCACAAAAAACUGAGACUUUUUGAAAGCAAAGAAACAGAGAGAAGAUACAAUUGGAAGUAAAGUUUGAAAUCUUACUGAGGGGCUUUAAAAGAAGCACAAAAAUGUACGCUGAUGAUUUUGCACUUUGGUGAGUGGUAUCGGACCUGGAUUGUCAGCCCUCCUAGUUACCAUGCCCUUCCAUACCCUCCUACUUUUCUAGCCAUUGAUUUCAUUUAAUACUCCAGAUUUUGCCACCUCACCAACAGCUCCAAAUCAUCUUUAAAGCCUCCCGCCUCAUCCACUUUUCCUAAUCUUCACUCUCCCGCCUCUUCAACUUUUAUGCUGCCUUUCCCGUCACCUCCUUCCAAUCUUCCCAGGUCAGUUUAUGUUAAUUUUCUUUGCUUGUUUUUGCUAUUGGAUUUAUAUUUUCUUUUUUAUAACAUGUUGGGGUCCUCUUUUUCCGAUUUAAUGUGUCACAUUAUCUGUUCUUCUAGAGUAAUUGAGAACAAGAGAGAUUCGUGGGAUCUGUUUAAUGUUGAAAUGUUGAUAAUCUGGGGAGGGAUUUGUGGGAGAGGGAUUUGUUCUAGAUUGCCCACAACCUCCGUAAAGAAACAACUUUGAAAUGUUGAUUUUUUUUCUAUACCAUACAUUUUUCUAUACAGCAGAUCCAAUUGAAAAUGAUUGAUUUUGAAGAAGCAAUUAAUAUCAACAACGAUGACUCGAACGAAUUCGAUUGUACACCGAGGUAAGACAGUUGAAAAUCCUUCAUUUUUUAUGCUGUACAAUUGGAUAAUGAAGAGCAAAUAACCAAUAUAUUCUGGGCGGAUGCUAAAAUGAUAAGUGACUAUGGUCAUUUUGGAGAUGUUGUUUCAUUUGACACUACCUAUAAAACUAAUCGAGCAGGUCGUCCGUUUGCUAUGUUUUUUGGCUUGAAUCAUCAUCGAGAAAUUGUAGUUUUUGGGGCAGCAUUGAUGUACGAUGAAACUGCUCCAUCGUUUAUUUAGUUAUUUGAAACUUUUUUGGUAGCAAUGUCCAACAUGUUGCCCCAAAAACUACAAUUUCUCAAUCAUGAUUCAAGCCAGAAAACACAACAAACGGACCACCUGCUCGAUUAGUUUUAUAGGUAGUGUCAAAUGAAACAACAUCUCCAAAAUGACCAGUCACUUAUCAUUUUAGCAUCCACCCAGAAUAUAUUGGUUAUUUGCUAUUCAUUAUCCAAUUGUACAACAUAAAAAAUGAAAGAUUUUCAACUGUCUUACCUCAGUGUACAAUCGAAUUCGUUCGAGUCAUCAUUGUUGAUAUUAAUUGCUUCUUCAGAAUCAAUCAUUUUCAAUCGGAUCUGUAGUAUAGAAAAAUGUAUGGUACAUAAAAAAAAUCAGCAUUUCAAAGUUGUUUCUUUACGAAGGUUGUGGGCAAUCUAGAACAAAUCCCUCUCCCACGAAUCCCUCCCCAGAUUUUCAAAAAUCAACAUUUCAACAUUAAACAGAUCCCACGAAUCUCUCUUGUUCUCAAUUACUCCAGAAGAACAAAUAAUGGGACACAUUAAAUCGGAAAAAGAGGACCCCAACAUGUUAUAAAAAAGAAAAUACAAAUCUCUCUUGUUCCCACUAAUCUUAUUUAUAAUUUAUUAGUUAUUUUGGGAGGAUUUUGAUACUUUGUUUUAUAUUUCAAUUGAAGAACAUGUGGAUCUACUUUGGGCAAAAAGCUAUGAAAUAAAAGAAUUUUGAAGUAAUUCCAAUUGGAGUGGAUUCGUGAGUCUUUAAAGAUGAUUGUGUCAGGUGAGGUGUUGUUUGAGUGUAAUGAAUUAAUUAUCCUAGAUUUUGUGAUAAAUUAAUUGGAGUGGAUUAGUGAGUCUUUGCCCAUGCCAAGAGAGUCAGGUGUCAAGCUAAAUGUGGCCUGAGCAAGUAGAUGAAUAAUCGGGAGACAAAGAAAUUGUUGGAUGCCACAAUUCUCCAUUAGAGUGUUGGAACUCUUUGUCAGUUUAAAAAUCUUUUGGAGAUCUUGAGUAGGCAUUAGGCUCUUUUAAGUGAGUUAGUUGUUAGUGUCAGACGUGUCACUGUUAGCUCAGACCAACAGAAAGAUUGUAAGAUUGUAAACAUACGCCAUAAGUAAAUUGAGCUUCUUAAUUAAAUGAUUGUGCCAUAAAAGGGUUAAAUCUAUGUUAAGUUCUUUUACAUGCCUUGUUGUUAAGGACUUAUAUAUAUAUAUAUAUAUGUAUGUAUGUAUUUUUUUUUUUUUUUUUGAAAGACUGGAGAUAACAUUACCAGGGCCAUGUAUGUAUGUAUUUUGUUAAUCACAAAUUGAUCGAAUCAUGGUAGUGGUUGGGUUGCAGCAAGUCAAGCUUCUUUGGUCAACAAAAAUAAAAGUUUAUAAUAUAAUAAUUUUGGCAUAUUAACUUGAGAAACAACAUACUGCUGGCCGGGAAGGUGUAGUGAGAGAGAGAGAGAGAGAGAGAGAGAGAGAGAGAGAGAGAGAGAUGAAGGAAAUGAUCACAAAUUGAUCGAAUCAUGGUAGUGGUUGUGUUGCAGCAAGUCAAGCUCCUUUGGUCAACAAAAAUAAAGUUUAUAAUAUAAUAAUUUUGACAUAUGAACUUGAGAAACAACAUACUGCUGGCCGGGAAGGUGUAGAGAGAGAGAGAGAGAGAGAGAGAGAGAGAGAGAGAGAGAGAGAGAUGAACAUGAAAGGACAAAUACCAUCCAAUAUAUUUAUAAUAAUUACUUCUUGGUUAUGAUUACAACUAUUCAAUUAAUCAAUAAUGCAUUAAGAAUAAAAUAUGAUAUGAUUAUAUAUGCAAGUAGUAAUUAAUUAGUUGUGAUUAAUAUCUUAAGAUUUUUUUUCUUCAAUUGUAAUCUAUAUUCUUGUAACACUCAUCAUUUGUUAAUAAUUUGUGCUUCGGCAAGUUUGUUGCAGGAUCGAUCGAGGGGAGAGGCUUCUUUCAGAUAGUAUGUACGCAAUAUUGGAGAGAGAGAUAAUGUUCAGAGAAACUGAUUUCAGAUGAAGCUAAGAAAGUAGUGAAUGACAUAGUAGUUUUAAAUGGACGAGUCAUACAUUUGCAGUAGUUUGUUCACUUGACGAGUAAAUACAGCAGACAACUAACACUUUAAAAUUACGUGUUUCCAAAAAAAAAAAACCACUUUAAAAUUACGACCACCACUUUUAGACAUAACAAAGUCGGCUACAUUUAUCUCCUAAGUAAACUCAAACCACUCGGCAAUAUUAUAAAUCCCAUUGAAAUUGAAUCCCACCAUAUUCGCAAAAAGUCCAUCCCUAUACAUGUUGAAGAGUACAAGAAUUUCACAUCAAAUUUAUCAAAAUUAAAGAUGACUUAUGUUGAUGCACAAAACCAGAGGUCUUGGAACAACGUAAAUCCGACCGUGAAUCUGCAAGUAAUGUAAAUAACACAAGAUGUAUCGUGGUUCACCCCAAUGUUUGGGCUACGUCCACACUGAUUAUGUAUUUAUCUGAGAUGUGAGGGGAGUGAGGGAGAGAGAUUCAAAGCCUUUGAGGGAGAGAGUGAGGUCUCUGAUGGCCUAGGAAUUGGCCUCCUCUAAUUGUGAGGGUGAAGGGUCCUUUUAUAGAAUAAGGACUCCUCACUUAUUACAUAUUUGCCCAUUCCUUUAUUACAUAAUUACAUUCAAGUCCCCCGAGUAUUUGUACGAGAUCUAAAUACGGAAGCCCUAAGUAUGAUAUAAACAACUUAUGUUGUGCGUUUUCCAUGCUUCUGAUUAUAUCAAGGUGUUUUGUGAUAACUUUCACAUAUGAUGUUUUGUGCAUGUGGUAAAAUUCAAGUUGAAAGAAAGUAUCAAUGUGGUUAAUAACGGGUCACUGAUGAGUCUUUACGAAUCUUGACAAUAUUUGCAUUUGUUAUGUGUGUGGUAAGCGACCAUACUGAUAUAAAUACCCAAGCCUCAUGUCUAUAAUAAUAUAAUCUUCACGUCUAUUUUUGUUUAUCAGAUAAUCUUCACGUCUAAAACUUGAGAAACGAUCGGGGAUGGAGAGAUGCACGAAAUUGCAGAGACAAUCCAUUUUAGUAUAAUAAUCUUCAUGUACAUAUAAACUAACGUAGAGUCAAAGUUAUGUAGCUUUGUCAUUUUGAGAUUUUAAUAAAAAAAUUGUAAAGUUCUAUUUUUUUUGUUUUUAUUUGUCAAAACUGUUGUAAGACGUUACCAGAUGAGCCCUUAACUUAUGUUAGCCAUCAUUAGUUAGUAAACAUUACUAUACCAACAAGCCACCAAAGUCUAUGUGCUAUAUUAUAUAUAAAAAGGAAAACUAAUGAAAAGGGUUUGAAAACUUUGAGUUUUAAUGAUAAUGACAAUAUAAAGGGUAAAAUGAAUAGUACCAGGAUUGACUUUUUAGUGUAAAAUUGUGGUUUUUCGUUAGGGUGAACAGUACCGGGAGCUUUUCGUUAAAGUUCCCUAUAUAAAACUGGGUUCUAAUGAAAAAGCACUUUAGAAACCACUUAUGUUUGUCACUUUUGUUCUCUAGAAGCCAUAAUGAAAAAGGAAAUUGAAAUUAAUAUUCAAAAUGAAGAUCUCAUAAUAAAAAUAAGAAAUAAAAAACCAAAUAGAGGAAGAACUUCAUCAUUCAUGUGUAAUUGAUCGUACCUUGUGUCACGGGCCGCAUGUUAAAAACAAAGAAAAUGCCCAAGACACCAUAUAUCUAAGCCCAUAAAGCCUUGUCUUCAUGGAAGCUUCUGGAACAUCCCGGAAAAAUCAAGAACAUGGCGGAGCGUUCAAGAUAAUCUAGGGCAUUCCGGAACAUUCCACACAAGUGUACAAAUUCAAGCCUCACCUAGAACAAUCUAGAUUAGGCAAGUUGUAUCUAGAACUAUACUAGAUAUUUUUGGAUGUAAGUAGGGAAUUCUAGAACCCUCCAUUGAGGAGGUGACUUAGGCCUAUAAAUAGGAGGUAAGGCCAUUUGGCCAAACCAUCCAAGAAUUGUCAGCAAUUGUAAAGUUAUCCUAAGUUUCAAUACAAAGCUUCAUUUCUCCCAUCUUCUAAGUGAUUUUAGCAUUCUCCAAGCUAUCUUAGCUUUCUUUGUGAUUCGAUCCGGGGAAGCGAGGCUUCGAAGGCUUACUUAGCUUGUUCAUCGAGGUAUUCAAGUCUAAGUGCCGCACGGGCGGAAGGCUUAAAGAGUCAUCCCGUGACAGCUGGUAUCAGAGCCAAGCUCGUGAAUCACUUGAAGGAAAGUAGGAUAUGGCAAGUGGAGAGAUGGUGUCCGGAGUCUCCGAUCUAAGGGAGCGUACUGCCGAGGUCCAAGAUGUUGCCAAGAGCAAGCCAAAGUUAAAGGACUUGCAAGCAUCGAUGGAGACCAUGGAAGAGCGACUCGAGAAGGUGGAACGAACCAUACUCGAGUUCAAUACUCGACUUGAUGACGACGUUGUCGACAAGGAGGAAAUCCAAACCAUAGUGGACAAUGGUAAGGAUGAACUUCGUGGCUUGGUGGAAGGGCUACGAGAUGAGCUCCUUGGCGCUCUCAACACCAUGGCAGACAAGAUGCGGAGGAAAGUCCAGGUUCACCUUGACAACAUAGAGGCAAGGUUUGUGGCGCUUCAAGAAGAGAUAAAGGACACAAGGGAACUUAAGGGAGAUGUGGCAUUUUGUAAAGAAGCAGUCGUGAAGCAAUUCGUACAAGGGCCGAGGGAAAUCAAGGCGUUGGACUCCAAGGUAAUCGACUCCUUUAAACCCAAAUCCUAUAAUGGGAAGAGGGAAGCAAAUGAGCUCGACACAUUCAUGUGGAACGUGGAGCGAUACUUCAAGUACCUGAAGCUUGAAGAUGACGAGUCCAAAAUCUCAAUGGCAACCAUGUUCUUAGCUGACAACGCCUUUAUGUGGUGGCGUCGUCGGAGCAUGGAGAUUGAGCAAGGUACGUUAUCUCUCACCACUUGGGAUGAAUUUAAGAAAGAUCUUAUGUUGCACUUCUAUCCCCAAAAUGCCAAGUACGAAGCCAAGGAGAAACUAAGGUGGCUCAAGCAAACGGGGAGCGUCAAAGACUAUGUCAACGCCUUCGUGAGCUUGUUAUUCGAGGUGCCCAACAUGUUAGAGGAAGACAAUCUCAUGUACUUCAUGAGUGGACUGCAAAAUUGGGCAAAACUCGAACUACAAAGGAGACACGUGCAAACAUUGUCUGAUGCCAUUGCCGCCGCCGAAUCCUUGAUUGAGUUUAAAUCAAGCCACCAAGGUGAUUCCAAGUCCACGGGGAAUAGGGGUAACCAUGAGAGAAGUGGGGGAAAACACAAGCCGAAGGACAAGGCCGAGACAAGCAAACCGAAGGAGAAGAAAGCCGAUAAGCAUGACAAAGGCAAGGGUAAGUCUUGGCAACCCACUUGUUACCUAUGCGACGGCCCUCACAUGAUGCGAGAUUGCCCACAAAAGAAGGCCUUUAAGGCCAUGGCUUUCAAGGAGGACAAGGCCGAAGAAAGUAACGAUGCAACGAUGGGAUGCAUCCAUCUACUGAAUGCCAUCCAGACAACCCUCCCACAACCUAAGGCUCAAGUUGGGGGAGGAUCAUUGUUCGUCGACGUCAAAACUGGUGACAAGACGACGCGUGUGUUGGUGGACACGGGAGCAACACACAACUUCAUGACGUCGGAGGAAGCCACAAGGCUUGGCCUCUGAGUCACCAAGGAGCCCGGUAGCGUGAAGACGGUAAAUUUCGCUGCCACCCCCAUUGUUGGAGUUGCGCGCAAUGUACAAGUAGACAUUGGCACAUGGAAGGGAAAUAUCGACUUCACCGUAGUCAAGAUGGAUGACUAUGGCGUAGUCAUUGGGUUAGAGUUCAUGGACAAGGUACGGGCCUUUCCCAUUCCCUUCUACAAUAUCUUCUGUAUCCUAGACGACGGAAGACAACCUUGCCUGGUGCCAUUGGAAAGGCAAGCCAAGAAGUGUACCCAGCACUUGUCGGCAAUUCAAUUUGCCAAGUCUUGGAAGAAAGGCGAGGCCACAUUUCUUGCAACUCUAAUGUUGAAUGAAGGGGAGGAGAAACACGGGCCUUUGCCGAAACAAGUGGAAGCCGUCCUUAUGGAGUUUGCGGACGUGAUGCCUAAAGAACUGCCAAAAAAGUUGCCACCAAGGAGAGAGGUCGACCAUGCGAUUGAGUUGGAGCCUGGUGCUAAGCCUCCCUCCAAAUCACCUUAUAGGAUAUCGCCACCCGAGUUGGAGGAAUUGAGGAAGCAACUCAACGAGCUACUUGAUGCUGGCUACAUCCAACCCUCCAAGUCCCCAUAUGGUGCACCCGUCCUGUUCCAACGCAAGAAAGAAGGUAGCCUAAGGUUGUGCAUCGACUAUAGAGCAUUGAACAAGAUUACCAUCAAGAACAAGUACCCACUUCCGUUGAUCGCCGACUUAUUCGAUCAACUUGGUGAAGCAAGGUACUUCACAAAGUUAGAUCUUCGAUCGGGAUACUACCAAGUGAGGAUAGCCCCUGGAGACGAAUCGAAGACGGCGAUGGUGACCAGAUAUGGAUCGUUCGAGUAUAAAGUCAUGCCAUUUGGUCUGACCAAUGCCCCCGCAACAUUCUGCACAUUGAUGAACAAGGUAUUCCAUCCUUAUCUUGACAAGUUUGUCGUGGUUUACAUUGAUGAUAUUGUUGUCUAUAGCAAGACAUUGGAGGAGCACGUCAACCACUUGCGCAUAGUGUUCAAGACCCUUCGGGAGCAUGAACUCUAUGUCAAGAAGGAGAAAUGCUCAUUUGCCAAAAAAGAAGUAGAAUUUCUUGGCCACAAGAUAAAGGAGGGGAAACUUAUGAUGGAAAAGGGCAAGAUCAAGGCCAUUCAAGAGUGGGAACCGCCGACCAAGGUACCAACACUACGAUCAUUUCUGGGGCUAGCCAACUACUAUCGGAGAUUCAUUAAAGGGUACUCAGCCAUAGCGGCACCCUUAACAGACCUUCUUAAGAAGAAUAAGGCAUGGGAAUGGACGGACCGUUGUCAAGAGGCCUUUGAGAGGUUGAAGAAGGCCCUAAUGGAGGAGCCUGUACUAAGGUUGCCCGACCUUAGCAAGCCAUUCGAGUUGCACACUGAUGCUUCCGACUUUGCCAUAGGAGGAGUGUUGAUGCAAGAGGGACAUCCGAUAACUUAUGAAAGUCGCAAGCUAAACAAUGCUGAGAAGAGGUACACGACCCAUGAAAAGGAGAUGACCGCCAUCGUCCAUUGCCUUAGAGUUUGGAGGCAUUACUUGCUUGGUACCCCAUUCAUCAUCAAGACGGACAACGUUGCCACUAGCUACUUUCAAACCCAACAAAAGCUCACACCUAAGCAAGCAAGGUGGCAAAAGUUCUUAGCAGAGUUUGAUUACAAGCUAGAGUACAAGCAAGGAAAGGAGAACGUGGUGGCCGAUGCUCUAAGUAGACGAGUAGAGUUAAUGGCUACGGUACUCAAGCCGCAAAGCCAUCUCUUGGGCCGUGUCCGAGAAGGUUUAUCACAUGACGUCCAAGCCAAGAACAUUGUGGAGUUUGUCAAGGAUGGGAAGACAAGAAGGUUUUGGCUUGAGGACGGCUUGCUAUACACCAAGGGCAAGCGGAUCUACAUCCCAAAGUGGGGGAGCUUGAGGAAAGAAAUCCUUAAGGAAUGCCAUGACUCAAUGUGGGCAGGACAUCCUGGCACUCACCGCACGUUGGCUUUGGUGAGCGAUGCUUACUAUUGGCCACAAAUGUGGGAUGAUGUAGAUUCAUACGUGAAGACUUGUCUUGUGUGCCAACAAGACAAAAUGGAACAAAUGCAACCGGGAUGACUGUUGGAACCACUUCCCACCCCAUCAAGACCAUGGGAGUGUUUAACCAUGGAUUUCAUCACACAUUUGCCCAAGUCUGAUGGAUGUGGAUCUAUCUUCGUCGUGGUCGAUAGAUUCACCAAGUAUGCCACUUUCAUACCCGCACCUGUGGAGUGCACAGCCGAAGUAGCUGCACGUUUGUUUCUAAAGCACGUGGUGAAGUAUUGGGGUGUUCCGAGGAGCAUAGUCAGCAAUCGAGAUGCUCGCUUCACGGGUAGAUUUUGGAAGGAGCUCUUCAAGCUACUUGGCUCAAAGUUAGACUUCUCCACAACUUUUCAUCCCCAAACUGAUGGACAAACGGAGCGGGUUAAUGCAUUGUUGGAGACUUAUUUGCGGCACUAUGUUAGUGUCAAUCAACGAGAUUGGGCUAAGUUACUUGAUGUUGCCCAAUUCUCUUAUAACUUGCAACGUUCGGAGUCGACGGGGAAAAGUCCGUUCGAGUUGGCUAUAGGGCAACAACCCUUGACCCCGAACACGGUCGUGACUGGCUACACUGGAAUAGUCCAGCCGCUUUCAAAACCGCUAAGAAGUGGCAAUUAGCCCACGAACUUGCUCGAGCUCACUUGGAGAAGGCUUCAAAGAAGAUGAAGAAAUGGGCGGAUCGUAAGCGAAGGAAUGUGGAGUUCCAAACUGGCGACCAAGUCUUUGUGAAGCUCAAUGCGUCUCAGCACAAGAGUACUCGUGGCUUGCACAAGAGCUUGUUGCGGAAAUAUGAGGGACCAUUCCUUAUCAUCAAGAAAGUUGGCAAAGCCGCGUAUGUUGUGGAACUCCCACCCCGCCUUAAGUUUCACCCGGUGUUCCAUGUGAGCAACUUGAAGCCUUAUCAUGCAGGCGAUGAGGAACCAAGCCAAGGUGAGUCUCAUCGAGCACCCCCUUUGAUGACAGAGGCAUUUGACAAAGAAGUGGAGAGCAUUGAAGCCAAGUGUGUCGUGGUGCGACCAAGACAACCAAAGCAUGUGGAGUACUUUGUCAAAUGGAAGGGGCUACCAUACUCCGAAGCAACAUGGGAGAAGGAGACGUCCUUAUGGCAAUAUAAGGACCUGAUUAAUACAUUCGAGAGGCAAGAGUCGACGAGGACGUCGACGGCUUAAGUGGGGGAGGAUGUCACGGGCUGCAUGUUAAAAACAAAGAAAAUGCCCAAGACACCAUAUAUCUAAGCCCAUAAAGCCUUGUCUUCAUGGAAGCUUCUGGAACAUCCCGGAAAAAUCAAGAACAUGGCGGAGCGUUCAAGAUAAUCUAGGGCAUUCCGGAACAUUCCACACAAGUGUACAAAUUCAAGCCUCACCUAGAACAAUCUAGAUUAGGCAAGUUGUAUCUAGAACUAUACUAGAUAUUUUUGGAUGUAAGUAGGGAAUUCUAGAACCCUCCAUUGAGGAGGUGACUUAGGCCUAUAAAUAGGAGGUAAGGCCAUUUGGCCAAACCAUCCAAGAAUUGUCAGCAAUUGUAAAGUUAUCCUAAGUUUCAAUACAAAGCUUCCUUUCUCCCAUCUUCUAAGUGAUUUUAGCAUUCUCCAAGCUAUCUUAGCUUUCUUUGUGAUUCGAUCCGGGGAAGCGAGGCUUCGAAGGCUUACUUAGCUUGUUCAUCGAGGUAUUCAAGUCUAAGUGCCGCACGGGCGGAAGGCUUAAAGAGUCAUCCCGUGACACUUGGAACCCUCCCAAACCUCAGAGCCGCACAAGGUUUAUGUGCAUUUUCCCUCCAACCCAUCUUGCUGCACGUUAAACCAAAUUUAAAAAAAAAAAGAGUUUUUGAACCGUUAGAGAAAAAACAAAUAUUUAACAAGAAAAAAAAAUGAAAUUGUACUUGUUCAAUUUUCGUCAGGGCAGAUAAAACAAUGGAGCUGGAUCCUCUCCGAGGCAAACCCUCGGGAUCCUGCUGAGCAACAAACACGGGCCGUUGGAUGUCGAUCCAACGACUACAAUUAUUAUAACUUUAAGAGAGGCCCUCCUGUUUGUAGCCGUUGGAUCGAAAUCCAACGGCCCGUGUUUGUCGCUCAGUAGGAUUCCGAGGGUUUGCCUCAGAGAGGAUCCAGUCCUAAAACAACACCACCCAAAAUGUGCUUGUGAAAAAUGAAAAAUGUUAAGGAGAUUAUAUUUUUGUACCACUUUAGUAUACGAUCUUAUGUGGCAAAUGAUGUGUAUAUGCCACAUCAGUUAAUGAAUCUAUUUGAUUAUAUAUUAGUUGUAUUUAUCAGUUAUCAUGUCAGAUGGUACAAAAAUGUGAUUACCCUAGCAUUACUUUGUGAAAAAACCAAUCAAAUGAAGAAAAAGAAGCUACUUUUGUCAUCAUAUAAUAGAAAGAAUAGAAAAAACAAGAGUGGAGGGUUGCGUUUACCGGAUUCUAUUGUUGCUGUUUGUGUUUGUGUUUGGGGUUACAAAAUUAAUUUUUUCUUUUUCAUUUAUUUAAGAGCAAAUUUAAAAGUUUGGUAGAUAAAUUUUUCUGUUUAGGUAUAGAAAUAAGAAAGAUCUUCAUGCUACACAUGGACCUGCCCUUGUAGGCCUUAAUUUUGGACUAUUGGCCCUCACUCGCAAAAGUGGAACAAAUACUCCUACGGCGCCGUUUCAUGACCUAUAUGAGAUUGUACCGUACGUUUGCCCUUUUACCGCCAAGUCCUUGUCCGACCCGCAUUACGCUCCGAAAGUCAUCUCACCUCCUCGGCCCCAAAUUCCUGCAGGUAAAUCGCACCUCAUUGUAUUCCUCGUUAAUUUCUCUUGUUUUGCGUUUGGUUGCUGAGAAAAUAGAUAAAGAGAAAGAAAAACGUGGUCUUUCGUUUGCGUUUUGUUUAUCAGAUAGCGUGGGUAAUAGACGUUACUAAAUUCCGUGUGGAGGAUUUUACGAGGAAUUCGAGGAGUCGGCGGCUUUUGGAACUUGGGCUCAGAGACGGCCAAGGUGAGGUAGCAGCUGAGGAGUAUUCUCAUAUCCCGGCAACCCCAGACGACGUCGUUCCUGGAACUAAGGUAUUUUCUGGUAUAGAUUAAACUCGCCCACUACAUUUAUAAUGAAUUUGGAAAUUUUAGGUCACGACUUACAGUUUAUGGCUCCAAACUGUUUGUCACGAAAUUGAUUAUUUGAUUGGUGGUGUUUUGGUAUUAAGAGGAUGAACAGAUUCGUGCUCUAGAUCAGGGCAAAAGCUUGCCGUGAGAAAUUGAGGAGGGAGAGAUUUAAUGACUGGUAUGUGUCCAAUCUCAAAUUAUAUUUUUUUACAUUUUUUGAAGAAUUGGGUUGUUAUGUAAUGAUGAAAUGAAUGGUGGUUUUCUGUUGAAUUUUACUGUUUUGCAAUUUGGGAUUUUGGUGUGGGUUGUAAAUUUUGAAUUUUUUUUUUUAUGCGGAUGAUUGAAUUUCUCUUGCUACAAAAACUAAUGAAUUGAGACUGAAACAUAAGAAGUUGCCAUCAAGUGCUUAUGUUUUAGUAUAAUUUCACUUCUAUGAUUCCAAAGUGUUUCCCCCAAUCCAGUUUUGUCUUUUCAGAUUAAUACAAUGCCACAACCCAUGCAGAAGAAUAUAGCUGAGUGAGCAACUUUUGUUUUUAAUACUGUGUUUUGAAAAAAUUUUGACGAAAGAAAAGAUCGAAGCAACUGAACAUGGGCUGGGGUUUGCAAUUGGUUUUCAAGUAAGGGAUGUAAUAAGCACUCAUAAAGUGGGAACAGUCGAAGUUGACCCUUUUUAGAAUAAGUGGCACUUGGCGGUUAUAGAACUGAGGAGUGAAAUUGCAGAGCGCAUGUAUAUUUAUCCUUCUUAAGUGUUGUUUUUGGAUCGAACACAAUUUCAUGUACAAUUCAUAUUUUUGCUUUUCGUUUUUUCAGUUUGUGUUCUGUUCAUGGUUAAGAAGACAUGAAUCACAUGUAUGUAAAUUUUGCAUAUCACGUAUAUACUUAGAACUUUUGACGUGUUUUUUAUGAUUUUAAAACCCACAGCAUUGCACAGGCACCAUCACUAGUAGAAACUAAAACUGUAAAAAAAGCUCAUGAACACAUCAGUCAGAAUGGAAGGUAAGUGGAGAAAAUUUCCGAGAUAUUCUAUUGAGCAAUCCAUUUAUGAGCCUUGCAAAUGAGCUUUUUGAUCUUACCAGGAACAGCUCUACAAUCUUAAACAACUUCCGUCUACAGUUUUGGAGAAUCCGACAGGAGACCAUUUUUUGAUUGCGCAAACGAGUUCAUCAAUUGCAAGGGUAGUAGAAAAUGUAAUAAAUCUUCUAGUAAAUGUACAAUCAAUCUUCAGUUAACCUAUCAGGGCAAGUCAAGAUUAAUGAAAAGGUAGUAGAAACCAUUGACUGGCAUCUUCCGGCUAUCAUUGAUUUUCUUUCUAACCUUAAAAGUAAAUUCCUGGGAUAUGUGGUGGAAGCAUGGCAAGUAUUUGUGCAAAUUCGAGUAGUAUUUGUCAAAUAUUUGGAUGAAUGGCUUGUAUUGAUUGUUGUAAUGUUGAAAUGUUUCUAGAUGCAAUAUAUCUUCAAAAUUCAAAACAACUACUUUUUGAACAAAUCAUGGACCUGCAUGCGCACGAUAGGAAGGCAAUUAGAACUUAGGAGAGAGAGAAAAAGAAAUACAUGUAUGAUGUUCUUGCCAAAAUCAGCUGUGAGAUUGGUAAACCUCUUCAUAUCAAUCCAUGUCAUGGGGUUUAAUAACUGAUCGGGGUGCGGAGCCUCGGCGAGUUUGGGUGAAUCGCUUAACCUCAAUGUUUCAAGCUUUGAAAGGCCAUUGAGGCUGUGUAGGGUAUGAAAAUCAUUCCCUCCAAGACAAAUAUUGUAAAGAAAUUAGACUCCCAAGAUCCUUAGGCAUUGCAUCGUCAGGUUUGCACCACGAGAGAUUUAAUUCCCUUAAAGAGUUUAAGCCAUGUAAUGAAUGGGGCAAAGGAAUAGGCAGAGUUCUCCGUAGAGAUAAACGAGUGAGAUUCUUCGACCCUAUUAUGGAAGGUGGUACUUGUCUUAUGGCUGUAUGCUCUGCUUCAAGAACCCCAAAGAACCUCAAACGCCAAUAUCCGAUUCAUAAGAAAUCUGAUAUCCGAUUCUUUAACUUUUAUUACAACCGUCAUCUAUAAAAUUUGAACUCAGAACCUCUUUGAUAGAGUGGGGACCCCAUCUCCAGAUUAAAGAUGACAAAUUCAAGUGCAGCAACAACAUAGUACAUCUAAACAGCACUCACAAGUCUCAUAGCAGCUGAAACAACAAGAAGCUGCAAACAAACUGCACCGAAAUUCACAGAUCACAAAAUGAAAUUCACAGAUCAACCGGAGACAUUUCUUGGUACCACGAUGGUGCAUACAUUUUCUCUUCUUCCUCCUCCCACCACAAAUUAAGAAACAGAUAAAGACUACAACAACAACAACAACAACAAAGCCUUUUCCCACUAGUGGGGUCGGCUAUAUGAAUCCUAGAACGCCAUU
rnacentral:lncRNA from 1 species